UGGUUCUGGCAUCGAUGAAGAACGCAGCGAAAUGCGAUAAGUAAUGUGAAUUGCAGAAUUCAGUGAAUCAUCGAAUCUUUGAACGCACAUUGCGCCCAUUAGUAUUCUAGUGGGCAUGCCUGUUCGAGCGUCAUUUCAACCCCUAAGCACAGCUUACUGUUGGGAACCUACGGCCUCCGUAGCUCCUUAAAGACAUUGGCGGAGUGGCAGUGGUCCUCUGAGCGUAGUAAUUCUUUAUCUCGCUUUUGUUAGGUGCUGCCCCCCCGGCCGUAAAACCCCCCCUUUUUUCUGGUUGACCUCGGAUCAGGUAGGAAUACCCGCUGA
rnacentral:misc_RNA from 1 species